AGUUAUUUGCUAAAAUUCUCCCACACACGUUCCUUCACAACAACAGCUUUCUCUCUCCCUCCCUAUCACGUUUCGCUCAGAAUUUCAAUUUUAUCUCUCUCUCUCUCUCUCUCUCUCUCUCUCUCUCUCUCUCACGUUUCUCUCACAAUAUAAAUUUUAUCUCUCUCACACGGUUCUAUCACAAUGUCUCUGGAGCAACUAUUAUUUUUCAGAAAUCAAUUUAAUUUUUCCAACUGCUCUCCAUCCACUUAUGCAUUAGCAUGCAGUUGUUAUCGAAUUGAAGCACAAUUAAUGUUAUAAUGGGAGAAGAAGCAUAGAUAAAGAGCAUGAGACUAGAUUUAGUGCAUCUAGGGAUGAUCGGGAUGCCAAACCGCAGAAGAAGAAAUCUAUCGGUCAUGGAUAAGAUAGCUUGCGAUUCGCAGUCUCACCGUCUCUGUAUUCCCGUAGGCCGUAGCACAGCCUCUCAUCUCUCUAAUCCCACAUAUGAAAUUAACCCAUAUUUUAAAGUUGAUAGAGGUUGCCCCAAAUUUUAAGCCAAAAGAAGGAGAAAUUUUUAGGCGUGGAGUAUCCUCAAAUUGAGAGUGAGGAUUGGAACCUGAUCCAUCAUUUUCGGAAGAACAAGUAAGGAGCACACUGGGAAAUUUUGGGUGUUGACAUACCAAUAAAACCUUCUCCAAAGUAAGGUGUUCCAUUAAGUGGCAUUGGAAUAAAUCUUGCUUCCGAUUUCCAAGUUCAAAGUAAUAUAAGUGUUGCAAAUGUAGUUCUCUAAUGUAAUUUCUAUUUAUCUAUUUUAGGGCAUGACUGGAAGAAGCUUUCAAGGUGAGUUUUAAUAGUUUUAGUUCUUUCCAGAGCAUGUAAAGACACCAAGUUCUUCCAAACCUAUUGUCCAUAAAUACAUUAUGAGGUUUAAUUAUAUGAGCUAUUGUAAGUUGGAACAUUAGGGACAAAAUAAUUAAAAUAACAUAUUUUUAUUGAAA